UUGCCUUUUGUUGGGAGGGGAAGGGGUUGGGGGUCGGGGGGAAGAAACUGGGGCCAGAGGACAGUGGCAGCCGCAACGCUCAGGGAGGAUUGACUGCCGGCGUGGCUGGCUUAGUACCGUGGAAUAGUCGCGGUCCCGUCCUGCCUCCGUAUUUUCUUCUCCCUCUUUUGAACUUUCUUUCGACGGUUGCACACUGUCCCUCUCCCAAGUCUCUAAAUCCUCUCCUUGUCCCUCUGUCCCCACAGCCCGUUAGCGGUAGACCUUCCAGCUCCCGUCCCCACUGGGCGCUGCAGGCCGCCGAGCGGCACGCGAACCGCACGCGCGGGCAACAAAAGCCGCUUUCAUGACUCACUGCCCUCGAGCAAUGCCCCGAAUCUGUCGCCCCCCACCCCCAGCCCCGGGCCCUCGCUUGGAGCGCGCGGCGCGGCCCGGGCGGUCCCGGCCGUUACAGCGGCUGCCAGAGCGCCGGCGGGAAGGGAGCGCGAGGCGGCGAGGGGAGUGUGGCCGGGGCGGGGAGGCUGGGGUGGGGGGAGGCGUGUGGCACCGCGUGUGGAGGUGUGGGGGGAGGAGACGGGGGGAUGGAGGCGGGAGGCCGGGACUUAGGGGCUGGGAAGCGUGUAGCUGGCGGGCGAAGGGGGUGGUGCGGCGCAUUCACAGGGCUAAGAUAAAGAGCUGGGGCCGGGCUGGCGUCCCCGGCGGUGACCUGUUUCUCGGGGAAACAGAUGCUCGCUCUAGCAAAGGGAGGUCUGCGUUCAAUGCAAGUAUUACGUACGACCCGGGCGGCCCCACCGACCUCCAGCGGCGUCCGCGCCCUCUCCCACCCCUCCCAGGAGAGGGGUGUGCCGGCCUGGGCACGUUCGAGGCGCGGGAGGAGGUUAAAGCUAUUAAAGGAGUAGAAACAGUAAUCCAUGGCACUCAGCAAUGGAUUAGUUGAUUACAACCUGUCACCUGGAAAUGAAGGGCCACACUGCGUGGCAGCUACAGUGGACCAUUAUGGAAGCACAGGAAUAAAAGGGAUGUAGAUGUGGGCUGCCUACA
ensembl:lncRNA